GGGCCCGCACAAGCGGAGGAACAUGUGGUUUAAUUCGAUGAUACGCGAGGAACCUUACCCGGGCUUGAAUUGCAUAUGAUUUUAGGUGAAAGCCUAUUUCUCUUUUGAGCAUAUGUGAAGGUGCUGCAUGGUUGUCGUCAGCUCGUGCCGUGAGGUGUCGGCUUAAGUGCCAUAACGAGCGCAACCCUCAUCUGUAGUUGCUAUCAGGUCAUGCUGAGGACUCUACAGAGACUGCCGUCGUAAGAUGUGAGGAAGGUGGGGAUGACGUCAAAUCAGCACGGCCCUUACGUCCGGGGCGACACACGUGUUACAAUGGGUGGUACAGCAGGUUGCUACACAGUGAUGUGAUGCCAAUCCCCAAAUCCACUCUCAGUUCGGAUUGGAGUCUGCAACUCGACUCCAUGAAGCUGGAUUCGCUAGUAAUCGCGCAUCAGCCAUGCG
rnacentral:rRNA from 1 species